rnacentral:rRNA from 1 species
UACGUAGGAGACGAGCGUUGUCCGGAAUUACUGGGCGUAAAGCGCACGUAGGCGGCUUUUUAAGUCAGGGGUGAAAUCCUGGAGCUCAACUCCAGAACUGCCUUCGAUACUGGGAAGCUCGAGUCCGGGAGAGGUGAGUGGAACUGCGAGUGUAGAGGUGAAAUUCGUAGAUAUUCGCAAGAACACCAGUGGCGAAGGCGGCUCACUGGCCCGGUACUGACGCUGAGGUGCGAAAGCGUGGGGAGCAAACAGG